ensembl:lncRNA
ACAGAUCCUGUCCCCUUCCCAUCUGACCUUCUUCCUCCAUUUCUCCCGUCUUCCUUUUUAUCCUUUUAAUCUCUAUUCCAGUUAUAACUGGAGGGAAUAUAAACCAAAUCAAACUGGUUUAAGACUUUAAAAAAAUUACUGGCUUAUGUAACUGAAAAGUUGAAGAGGAGAUUGGCCCAGCUUGAUCCAAGGAUUUGAGUGGUAUCAUCACGGAGGGCUAGACUUUUCCAUCUCUUCAUUGUCAGCUCUGUGCCAGCUUAUUUCUCAGGCUAACUCUAUUUGUUAGCUAAUGUGGCCUUUGGUGACUCAAAACUUCCACAAUCCCCAACUCAAGGCUCUGGAAAGACAAUGUUCCAGUUAAUAGUUAUGAAGUCACUCUUGAAGUUUUCUGGUUGUGAAUCAUGUGGGAUCGUAGCUUGCCUGCCAGAGAUCAAACCUACACCCCCUGCAUUGGAAGGCUCACGGCUUGGAGGGUGGGGUGACUCUGAGGUCACCUCAGCACUUAGCAGAGUGGCCAGCCUCGGUCAGCACUCAGGACGUGUGAUGAUGAACGAACCCACUUGCAGACGGAUGGCUCCAUUUGCCUUCUUGUUGCUCUAAGUUCACU